rnacentral:pre_miRNA from 1 species
AGUGGGAUAGCUGGGUCAAAUGGUGUUCCCAUUCCAAGUUUUCUAAGGAAUCUCCGUAAUGGUUAUGCCAAUUUGCAUUCCCACCAGCAAU